rnacentral:rRNA from 1 species
AACGAACGCUGGCGGCAGGCCUAACACAUGCAAGUCGAGCGCUCACCUUCGGGUGGGAGCGGCGCACGGGUGAGUAACACGUGAGAACCUACCUUGAAGUACGGAAUAACUGAGGGAGACUUCAGCUAAUACCGUAUACGCCCUACGGGGGAAAGAUUUAUCGCUUCAGGACGGGCCCGCGUUGGAUUAGCUAGUUGGUGAGGUAAUGGCUCACCAAGGCAACGAUCCAUAGCUGAUUUGAGAGAAUGAUCAGCCACACUGGGACUGAGACACGGCCCAGACUCCUACGGGAGGCAGCAGUGGGGAAUAUUGGACAAUGGGCGCAAGCCUGAUCCAGCCAUGCCGCGUGAGUGAUGAAGGCCUUAGGGUUGUAAAGCUCUUUCGACGGGGACGAUGAUGACGGUACCCGUAGAAGAAGCCCCGGCUAACUUCGUGCCAGCCGCCGCAGUAACAC